CCCAGGAGGUAGAGGUUGCAGUGAGCCAAGAUUGCACCACUGCAUUCCAGUCUGGGUGACAGAGUGAGACUCUGUCUCAAGAAAAAAUAAUUUAUUUAUUUAUUUAUGUAUUUAUUUUUGAGAUGGAGUUUCACUCUUGUUGCCCUGGCUGGAAUGCAAUGGCGCGAUCUUGGCUCACUGCAACCUCUGCCUCCUGGG
rnacentral:pre_miRNA from 1 species